UACGGAGGGUGCAAGCGUUAUCCGGAUUUACUGGGUUUAAAGGGUGCGUAGGUGGAUAAGUAAGUCAGUGGUGAAAUCUCCGGGCUUAACCCGGGAACUGCCAUUGAUACUAUUUGUCUUGAAUACUUUGGAGGUAAGCGGAAUAUGUCAUGUAGCGGUGAAAUGCUUAGAUAUGACAUAGAACACCCAUUGCGAAGGCAGCUUACUACGGAUAUAUUGACACUGAGGCACGAAAGCGUGGGGAUCAAACAGG
rnacentral:rRNA from 1 species